rnacentral:rRNA from 1 species
UACGUAGGGGGCAAGCGUUGUCCGGAAUCAUUGGGCGUAAAGCGCGUGUAGGCGGCUCGAUAAGUCCGCUCUGAAAGCCCGGGGCUCAACCCCGGGAGGCGGGUGGAUACUGUCGAGCUUGAGUCCGGAAGAGGCGAGUGGAAUUCCCGGUGUAGCGGUGAAAUGCGCAGAUAUCGGGAGGAACACCAAUGGCGAAGGCAGCUCGCUGGGACGUGACUGACGCUGAGACGCGAAAGCGUGGGGAGCAAACAGG